rnacentral:misc_RNA from 1 species
CGAACACUAUACUAUUAACUAAUAAAUUGUGUCAAAAAUUUAAAAAACAUGAUUAUAUGGGUUACACAACGUGACACUGUUAAUAUUAAAUUAUGUUAGUUGUAUUUAAUACGACAUGAUCCACCAUUUAACACGGUUUUCAUUGGUCACAGUGGCUGUUAGUGGGUCACGGUUCAACAAAUGAUACGAAUAUUAAUAGCCUUAAAAGUGUCAAGUCGGGUAAAUGGG